AAGACCUUGCGCUUUUGGAGCGGCCGAUGCCUGAUUAGCUUGUUGGUAAGGUAAAAGCUUACCAAGGCUUCGAUCAGUAGCUGGUCUGAGAGGACGACCAGCCACACUGGGACUGAGACGCGGCCCAGACUCCUACGGGAGGCAGCAGUGGGGAAUUUUGGACAAUGGGGGCAACCCUGAUCCAGCCAUGCCGCGUGAGUGAAGAAGGCCUUCGGGUUGUAAAGCUCUUUCAGCCGGAACGAAACGGUUACGGUUAAUACCCAUGACUACUGACGGUACCGGAAGAAGAAGCACCGGCUAACUACGUGCCAGCAGCCGCGGUAAUACGUAGGGUGCGAGCGUUAAUCGGAAUUACUGGGCGUAAAGCGUGCGCAGGUGGUUUUGUAAGUCAGAUGUGAAAGCCCCGGGCUCAACCUGGGAACU
rnacentral:rRNA from 1 species